AUACGUAGGUGGCGAGCGUUGUCCGGAAUUACUGGGUGUAAAGGGCGUGUAGGCGGGAAAGCAAGUCAGAUGUGAAGUACCGGGGCUUAACUCCGGGGCUGCAUCUGAAACUGUUUUUCUUGAGUGUCGGAGAGGAAAGCGGAAUUCCCAGUGUAGCGGUGAAAUGCGUAGAUAUUGGGAGGAACACCAGUGGCGAAGGCGGCUUUCUGGACGACAACUGACGCUGAGGCGCGAAAGCGUGGGGAGCAAACAGGAUUAGAUACCCUGGUAGUCCACGCCGUAAACGAUGGAUACUAGGUGUAGGAGGUAUCGACCCCUUCUGUGCCGGAGUUAACACAAUAAGUAUCCCACCUGGGGAGUACGGCCGCAAGGUUGAA
rnacentral:rRNA from 1 species